rnacentral:lncRNA from 1 species
AGGCCCUUGGGAAAAAAUGGUUGACUUAGAAUGGUCAGUUUUGUUUCCUCCUACAAUGUUGUUCCAAGGAAGACGCUAUAAAAUACAUCCCUCUACCCUCCAUGACAGCCGUCUGCCACAGACACAGCUCUAAGAUGAGAUCAACCACAUUAGUCCUCUUGGCUCUUCUCACCUGGACUGUGUCAUCUGGCUUAUGGUUCUGCCUGGACCAGCAUUCUGAGAUUAGUGUGAUUAAUCCUAGAAAGCCUAUAAAGGCAACGUUUCAAAGUUUUGUCUGUCGUGACAGAAACACAAAAGAAACAGUCAUAUGUCAGGGUUUAUCUUUGAACUCUAUGCCCUUUAAUAGGUUUGUGAACACGUCUCAGACAGAGAAAGAUCCAGAAAAGAAGAAGGCAGAAUGCAGAUGUGUUCAUAAGCCUGAAGUCAUACCUUAUGUGUCAUAUUGCCCUACUGAUGGGCCAAACUCCACUCUUCUGGUAACUGAGAUCAGCUGGUAUAACCUAACCACGCCAUUAAAUUACAACAGUGUCUGCUCACCAUCUGGUCUCCUGAGAUCAAGGACUCACCGCUCCAACAUUAUUGCCCUUAUUCUAGUGCAGCACUGGAAAACAUCCCUUCAGCUCAGUGUCUGUAAGGUGUGCAAACUUUUACAAAAAUUCUUGAGAUUGUUUGUCCAAUCCUGUAUGAGGCUUUAAUCGUGUAAUAACUAGAACAUGUAUGUUAACUAAAACUGUUUCAGUAUUACAUAGAAUACUAAAGAGAAAUGCAUGAACUAUAAACAUACAAUUAUUGAAAGAACCUUUGCACAAUUCAAUAUUAUAAUAGUGUAAUUUAAUUUCUAUUAUUUAAUUUUGCUUUAUCUG